AGGGUGUAAACGCUGCCGACUUGGUGUUGGAGGCCCUUCGGGGGCAUUCAGUGCCGGAGAGAAGUUGUUAAGUCGGCCACUUGGGAGUACGUCCGCAAGGAUGAAACCUAAAGGAAUUGGCGGGGGAGCACCGCAACGGGAGGAGCGUGCGGUUUAAUUGGAUUCAACACCGGAAAACUCACCAAGGGCGACUGUUACAUGAAAGCCAGGCUAAUGACCUUGCUUGAUUUUCAGAGAGGUGGUGCAUGGCGUCAGUGACU
rnacentral:rRNA from 1 species